rnacentral:tRNA from 1 species
GGGGAUUUAGCUCAGUGGUAGAGCGCUUGCCUAGCAAGCACAAGGUCCUGGGUUCGGUCCCCAGCUUCA